AGGCACGGUUGAAGUGCUUGUGAACUGAGUUAGACCCAGUAACAAUGUUGUUUUUAAAACUAAAGAUGACAGAAUUUUCCUCCGAGUCCAAACAGAAAUGUGGACAGGCUAGUUUUCGUGUGGUGAUUCGUUAUCCCUUGUGUGAGCUGCAUCAUACAGGUGAGUGAGCUGAAGACACGGUAGAGCUUCGGCCGGCAAAGUGCCUUGUGACAGGGCAUAAUUUAUCGAGACUGAAAACAAAAACUGAA